CAGCUGUGUGGUUUUCUGCAGAGUCCACUCUGUGGUCUGCAGAUUCUGAGGUUGGAGAGCUGCAGUUUGUCAGAGAUCGGCUGUUCUUCUGUGGCCUCAGCUCUGAAGUCCAACCCCUCCCUCCAGAAACUGGAGCAUCUGGACCUCAGUUGUAACGAUCUGCAGGAUUCAGCAGUUUCUCAGCUGUGUGGUUCCUGCAGAGUCCACUCUGUUUCUGCAGAUUCUGAGGUUGAGCAGCUGCUGGUUGUCAGAGAUCAGCUGUUCUUCUGUGGCCUCGGCUCUGAA